rnacentral:rRNA from 1 species
GGGGAGCAAUCCCUGAGUAGAGUGGCAAACGGGUGAGUAACACGUGGGUGACCUGCCUUCGAGUGGUGGAUAACGUCCCGAAAGGGACGCUAAUACCGCAUGACAUCCUGCUCUUGGACGAGCGGAGAUCAAAGCCGGGGAUCGUAAGACCUGGCGCUUGGAGAGGGGCCCGCGUCUGAUUAGCUAGUUGGUAGGGUAAUGGCCUACCAAGGCAACGAUCAGUAUCCGGCCUGAGAGGGCGGACGGACACACUGGGACUGAGACACGGCCCAGACUCCUACGGGAGGCAGCAGUGGGGAAUUGUUCGCAAUGGGCGCAAGCCUGACGACGCAACGCCGCGUGGAGGAUGAAGAUCUUCGGGUCGUAAACUCCUGUCGAGCGGGAAGAAUUCCUGGCCGGCUAAUAUCCGGCGAGGUUGACGGUACCGCUAAAGGAAGCCCCGGCUAACUCCGUGCCAGCAGCCGCGGUAAUACGGGGGGGGCAAGCGUUGUUCGGAAUUACUGGGCGUAAAGGGCUCGUAGGCGGCCAACUAAGUCAGACGUGAAAUCCCCAGGCUCAACCUGGGAACUGCGUCUGAUACUGAUUGGCUUGAAUCCGGGAGAGGGAUGCAGAAUUCCAGGUGUAGCGGUGAAAUGCGUAGAUAUCUGGAGGAAUACCGGUGGCGAAGGCGGCAUCCUGGACCGGCAUUGACGCUGAGGAGCGAAAGCCAGGGGAGCAAACGGGAUUAGAUACCCCGGUAGUCCUGGCCCUAAACGAUGAAUGCUUGGUGUAACGGGUAUCGAUCCCUGUUGUGCCG